rnacentral:rRNA from 1 species
GACGAACGCUGGCGGCGUGCUUAACACAUGCAAGUCGAACGUGAUUUUUGUGGAAAUUCUUUCGGGAAUGGAAAUGAAAUGAAAGUGGCGAACGGGUGAGUAACACGUGAGCAACCUACCUUACACAGGGGGAUAGCCAUUGGAAACGACGAUUAAUACCGCAUGAGACCACAGAAUCGCAUGAUAUAGGGGUCAAAGAUUUAUCGGUGUAAGAAGGGCUCGCGUCUGAUUAGCUAGUUGGAAGGGUAAAGGCCUACCAAGGCGACGAUCAGUAGCCGGUCUGAGAGGAUGAACGGCCACAUUGGAACUGAGACACGGUCCAAACUCCUACGGGAGGCAGCAGUGGGGAAUAUUGCACAAUGGGGGGAACCCUGAUGCAGCGACGCCGCGUGAGCGAAGAAGGUUUUCGAAUCGUAAAGCUCUGUCCUAUGAGAAGAUAAUGACGGUAUCAUAGGAGGAAGCCCCGGCUAAAUACGUG